rnacentral:rRNA from 1 species
AUUGAACGCUGGCGGCAGGCCUAACACAUGCAAGUCGAGCGAGCGGCGGACGGGUGAGUAAUGUCUGGGAAACUGCCUGAUGGAGGGGGAUAACUACUGGAAACGGUAGCUAAUACCGCAUACCAUCAGAUGUGCCCAGAUGGGAUGAGCUCGUAGGUGGGGUAACGGCUCACCUAGGCGACGAUCCCUAGCUGUUCUGAGAGGAUGACCAGCAAACCGGGAACUGAGACACGGCCCAGACUCCUACGGGAGGCAGCAGUGGGGAAUAUUGCACAAUGGGCGCAAGCCGGCUGCAGCCAUGCCGCGUGUGUGAAGAAGGCCUUCGGGUUGUAAAGCACUUUAAGCGAGGAGGCGUUACUCGCAGAAUAAGCACCGGCUAACUCUGUGCCAGCCGCCGCGUAAUAC